rnacentral:rRNA from 1 species
CCCUAUGGGGCGCGGCGUAAUCCCCAAGUUCGGAUGUUUUGCCCCUUCUCUCCCCGUUAAGUAGCCGGUCCGAGUGCAAAUCCCGGCUGCCUUAACCAUUCAAUGAACUUGCAUGUUAUAACGAACGUGACUACACUGGGCCAUAUGGUCUUGGAACUGAAACUGCGCAAAGUAGGUAACUCGGUGGGCCUGGUUUUGCCCAAAGAAGCUUUGGCCCGUUUGCAUGUCGAGGAAGGGGACGCGGUGUACCUGACGGAAACCACCGACGGCGGCUUUCGGGUCACGGCCAACAAUCCUGAUUUCGCGGAGAAAAUGAAAGUGGCGGAGCGGCUCAGCCGACGGUAUCGGCAUGCGCUUAAGGAAUUGGCGGGAGAGC